AGAUGGGGAGAGUCGCCGGCAAACGUCGCCCCCGCUGACGGCUCUUUCCGGGGGCGGGCUUUAGGCCCGUCCCCUCUGUUUCCUUCCGAUGGAAAACGCCCCCCUCCGUCGGAAGGUGUUGCGGGCGAUGGAGUUCCCCCAGCUCCAUCGCCCGUUUUU
rnacentral:sRNA from 1 species